CAUGUGAUCCUGAGGUCAUGUGAUCCUGAGAUCAUGUGAUCCUGAGGUCAUGUGAUCCUGAGGUCAUGUGAUCUUGAGGUCAUGAGAUCAUGUGAACCUUAGAUCAUGAGGUCUUGUGAUCAUGUGAUCCUGAGGUCAUGUGAUCAUGAGGUCAUGUGAUCCUGAGGUCAUGUGAUCCUGAGAUCAUGUGAUCCUGAGGUCUUGUGAUCUUGAGAUCAUGAGGUCAAGACAUGAUUAGGUCAUGUGAUCAUGAGGUCAUGUGAUCAUGAGGUCAUGUGAUCUUGAGAUAAUAAGAUCAUGAGGUCACGUGAUCCUGAGGUCAUGUGAUCUUGAGGUCAUGUGAUCUUGUGAUCAUGAGGUAAUGUGAUCAUGAGGUCAAGACAUCAUUUUGUCAUGUGAGCCUGAGGUCAUGUGAUCAUGAGGUCAUGUGAUCAUGAGGUCAUGUGAUCCUGAGGUCAUGUGAUCCUGAGAUCAUGUGAUCCUGAGGUCUUGUGAUCUUGAGAUCAUGAGGUCAAGACAUGAUUAGGUCAUGUGAUCAUGAGGUCAUGUGAUCAUGAGGUCAUGUGAUCUUGAGAUAAUAAGAUCAUGAGGUCACGUGAUCCUGAGGUCAUGUGAUCUUGAGGUCAUGUGAUCUUGUGAUCAUGAGGUAAUGUGAUCAUGAGGUCAAGACAUCAUUUUGUCAUGUGAGCCUGAGGUCAUGUGAUUAUGUGGUCAAGACAUCAUUAGGUCAUGUGAUCCUGAGGUCUUGUGAUCAUGAGGUCUUGUGAUCAUGAGGUCAUGUGAUCAUGAGAUUAUGUAGUCAUGUGAUCAUGUUAGCAGAGCAGCAGAUCAAAGAUUCUCUACUGACCAACAUUUCGGCAGAAAAAGUGUUUUUGUAACAAAAAAUAAACUGAUCUUCUAAAGAUG